rnacentral:piRNA from 1 species
UGCAAGUGAUGGGGAGCAGCUGUAAA